rnacentral:lncRNA from 1 species
AGACACACUGUUAGCAUAUAUGGACAGUAGUAAUUCAUCAAACACGUUCUAAUAUCUUCAAACAAAUGGCAUAGGCAACGCCCCACAUACCAUUCAUCAAACACUAAGGAAAUGAAGAUGAAACAUAUUCGUUUACUACAUAUGGCAUAUACAUGCUCAUAUGCCAAAAUUCAUACUUUCUAAUUCUAUAUUAACCCAAUUUGUUCUAACAUUUUUCUCAUCGUCAUUUGAGAGUAAUUUAUUUUAAUAUGUCAUCUCCUCAAAUAUUGCCUGCUCAGCCUCAUUUUUCCAGCACUUUGAGGUUGUGUUUGUCCAGUUUCUGAAUUCAAUUCUCCAU